UCGAAUUAUCAGGGCGAGGGUUGUAGCUGGCCGGUCAAACGGUAUGUGCACGCCCGAGCUCGUUAAUCCAUUACACACCUGUGAACCUAAUGUGGGCCCUUUUGGGCCCAUGUCUUAUCAUCAACUCUGAAACGUCUAUAGAAUGUAAAUCAAUUCAUUGCCCUAAAAACGCAGUAAAUA
rnacentral:misc_RNA from 1 species